rnacentral:rRNA from 1 species
AGUGAACGCUGGCGGUAGGCCUAACACAUGCAAGUCGAACGGCAGCACAGUAAGAGCUUGCUCUUACGGGUGGCGAGUGGCGGACGGGUGAGGAAUACAUCGGAAUCUACUUUUUCGUGGGGGAUAACGUAGGGAAACUUACGCUAAUACCGCAUACGACCUACGGGUGAAAGCAGGGGAUCUUCGGACCUUGCGCGAUUGAAUGAGCCGAUGUCGGAUUAGCUAGUUGGCGGGGUAAAGGCCCACCAAGGCGACGAUCCGUAGCUGGUCUGAGAGGAUGAGCGGCCAAACGGGGACGGAGACACGGACCAGCCUCAUACGGGAGGCAGCAGUAGGGAAUAGUGGACAAUGGUCGAAAGUAUGAUAGAGCAAUAUCGAGGGAGUGAAGAAGGGCGGAGGGUUGUAAAGAUCGUUUGGUGGAAAAGAAAAACAAAGGGAGGAAACACAGCUGGUAGGAAGGUACCUAAAGAGAAAGAAACGGCUAACGACGUG